GCUGGAAUUGCUAGUAAUGGCAGGUCAGCAUACUGCCGUGAAUACUUCCCGGGCCUUGUACACACCGCCCGUCACACCAUGAGAGUUGGAAAUACCCGAAGCCUGUGAGCUAACAGUAAUGAGGCAGCAGUCGAAGGUAGAGCCAAUGAUUGGGGUGAAGUCGUAACAAGGUACC
rnacentral:rRNA from 1 species